GUUUGGGGAUGCCUGGUUUAGUUGGUAGAACAUGAGACUCUUAAUCUCAUGGUCCUCGGUUCAAGCCCCACCCUGGGCA